rnacentral:rRNA from 1 species
UAGGGAAUCUUCGGCAAUGGGGGCAACCCUGACCGAGCAACGCCGCGUGAGUGAAGAAGGUUUUCGGAUCGUAAAGCUCUGUUGUAAGAGAAGAACGUGUGUGAGAGUGGAAAGUUCACACAGUGACGGUAACUUACCAGAAAGGGACGGCUAACUACGUGCCAGCAGCCGCGGUAAUACGUAGGUCCCGAGCGUUGUCCGGAUUUAUUGGGCGUAAAGCGAGCGCAGGCGGUUUAAUAAGUCUGAAGUUAAAGGCAGUGGCUUAACCAUUGUUCGCUUUGGAAACUGUUAAACUUGAGUGCAGAAGGGGAGAGUGGAAUUCCAUGUGUAGCGGUGAAAUGCGUAGAUAUAUGGAGGAACACCGGUGGCGAAAGCGGCUCUCUGGUCUGUAACUGCCGCUGAGGCUCGAAAGCGUGGGGAGCAAACAGG